UGGGGAAUAUUGCACAAUGGGCGAAAGCCUGAUGCAGCAACGCCGCGUGAGCGAUGAAGGCCUUCGGGUCGUAAAGCUCUGUCCUCAAGGAAGAUAAUGACGGUACUUGAGGAGGAAGCCCCGGCUAACUACGUGCCAGCAGCCGCGGUAAUACGUAGGGGGCUAGCGUUAUCCGGAUUUACUGGGCGUAAAGGGUGCGUAGGCGGUCUUUCAAGUCAGGAGUGAAAGGCUACGGCUCAACCGUAGUAAGCUCUUGAAACUGUAAGACUUGAGUGCAGGAGAGGAGAGUGGAAUUCCUAGUGUAGCGGUGAAAUGCGUAGAUAUUAGGAGGAACACCAGUUGCGAAGGCGGCUCUCUGGACUGUAACUGACGCUGAGGCACGAAAGCGUGGGGAGCAAACA
rnacentral:rRNA from 1 species